rnacentral:rRNA from 1 species
GAUGAACGCUAGCGGCAGGCUUAAUACAUGCAAGUCGAGGGGCAGCAGUUUUGUAGCAAUACAGAAGCUGGCGACCGGCAAACGGGUGCGGAACACGUACGCAACCUUCCUUUAACUGGGAGAUAGCCCACCGAAAGGUGGAUUAAUAUCCCAUAAUCUAACUGAAUGGCAUCAUUUAGAUAUUAAAGCUCCGGCGGUUAAAGAUGGGCGCGCGUCUGAUUAGGUAGUUGGCGGGGUAACGGCCCACCAAGCCUUCGAUCAGUAGCUGAUGUGAGAGCAUGAUCAGCCACACGGGCACUGAGACACGGGCCCGACUCCUACGGGAGGCAGCAGUAAGGAAUAUUGGUCAAUGGACGCAAGUCUGAACCAGCCAUGCCGCGUGGAGGAUGAAGGCCCUCUGGGUUGUAAACUUCUUUUCUUUGGGACGAAACCCCUGCUUCUACGGGGACUGACGGUACCAGAGGAAUAAGCACCGGCUAACUCCGUGCCAGCCGCCGCGGUAA